rnacentral:rRNA from 1 species
UACGUAGGUCCCGAGCGUUAUCCGGAUUUAUUGGGCGUAAAGCGAGCGCAGGCGGUUGGAUAAGUCUGAAGUUAAAGGCUGUGGCUCAACCAUAGUAUGCUUUGGAAACUGUUCAACUUGAGUGCAGAAGGGGAGAGUGGAAUUCCAUGUGUAGCGGUGGAAUGCGUAGAUAUAUGGAGGAACACCGGUGGCGAAAGCGGCUCUCUGGUCUGUAACUGACGCUGAGGCUCGAAAGCAUGGGUAGCGAACAGG